rnacentral:rRNA from 1 species
CUAUAAGUCUGAUGUGAAAAACCUAAGGCUUAAACCAUAGGAUUUGCAUGGGAAACUGUAGAGCUGGAGUAUCGGAGAGGCAAGCGGAAUUCCUGGUGUAGUGGUGAAAUGCGUAGAUAUAUGGAAGAACACCGGUGGCGAAGGCGGCUCUCUGGUCUGUUACUGACGCUGAGGCUCGAAAGCAUGGGUAGCGAACAGGAUUAGAUACCCUGGUAGUCCAUGCCGUAAACGAUGAGUGCUAAGUGUUGGGAGGUUUCCGCCUCUCAGUGCUGCAGCUAACGCAUUAAGCACUCCGCCUGGGGAGUACGACCGCAAGGUUGAAACUCAAAGGAAUUGACGGGGGCCCGCACAAGCGGUGGAGCAUGUGGUUUAAUUCGAAGCAACGCGAAGAACCUUACCAGGUCUUGACAUCCAUAGCCAGUCUAAGAGAUUAGAUGUUCCCUUCGGGGACUAUGAGACAGGUGGUGCAUGGCUGUCGUCAGCUCGUGUCGUGAGAUGUUGGGUUAAGUCCCGCAACGAGCGCAACCCUUGUCAUUAGUUGCCAGCAUUAAGUUGGGCACUCUAAUGAGACUGCCGGUGACAAACCGGAGGAAGGUGGGGAUGACGUCAAGUCAUCAUGCCCCUUAUGACCUGGGCUACACACGUGCUACAAUGGACGGUACAACGAGAAGCUACCCUGUGAAGGCAAGCGGAUCUCUGAAAGCCGUUCUCAGUUCGGAUUGCAGGCUGCAACUCGCCUGCAUGAAGCUGGAAUCGCUAGUAAUCGCAAAUCAGCACGUUGCGGUGAAUACGUUCCCGGGCCUUGUACACACCGCCCGUCACACCAUGAGAGUCUGUAACGCCCGAAGCCGGCGGGAUAACCGAAAGGAGUCAGCCGUCUAAGGCGGGACAGAUGAUUAGGGUG